rnacentral:rRNA from 1 species
AAGACCUUGCGCUUUUGGAGCGGCCGAUGCCUGAUUAGCUAGUUGGUGGGGUAAUGGCCUACCAAGGCUUCGAUCAGUAGCUGGUCUGAGAGGACGGCCAGCCACACUGGGACUGAGACACGGCCCAGACUCCUACGGGAGGCAGCAGUGGGGAAUUUUGGACAAUGGGCGCAAGCCUGAUCCAGCCAUGCCGCGUGAGUGAAGAAGGCCUUCGGGUUGUAAAGCUCUUUCAGCCGGGAAGAAAAGGUUGCGACUAAUAAUCGCAAUCCAUGACGGUACCGAAAGAAGAAGCACCGGCUAACUACGUGCCAGCAGCCGCGGUAAUACGUAGGGUGCGAGCGUUAAUCGGAAUUACUGGGCGUAAAGGGUGCGCAGGCGGUUUUGUAAGUCAGAUGUGAAAUCCCCGGGCUUAACCUGGGAACU